GGCUUAGAGUUUGAUCAUGGCUCAGGAUGAACGCUGGCGGCGUGCCUAACACAUGCAAGUCGAGCGAAGCACUCCACUUUGAUUUCUUCGGAUUGAGGAGUGGUUUGACUGAGCGGCGGACGGGUGAGUAACGCGUGGGUAACCUGCCUCAUACAGGGGGAUAACAGUUAGAAAUGACUGCUAAUACCGCAUAAGACCACAGCACCGCAUGGUGCAGGGGUAAAAACUCCGGUGGUAUGAGAUGGACCCGCGUCUGAUUAGCUAGUUGGUAAGGUAACGGCUUACCAAGGCGACGAUCAGUAGCCGACCUGAGAGGGUGACCGGCCACAUUGGGACUGAGACACGGCCCAAACUCCUACGGGAGGCAGCAGUGGGAAUAUUGCACAAUGGGGGAAACCCUGAUGCUGCGACGCCGCGUGAGCGAAGAAGUAUUUCGGUAUGUAAAGCCCUAUCAGCAGGGAAGAAAGUGACGGUACCUGACUAAGAAGCACCGGCUAAAUACGUGCCAGCAGCCGCGGUAAUACGUAUGGUGCAAGCGUUAUCCGGAUUUACUGGGUGUGAAGGGAGCGUAGACGGAUAGGCAAGUCUGGAGUGAAAACCCGGGGCUCAACCCCGGGACUGCUUUGGAAACUGUUUAUCUAGAGUGCUGGAGAGGUAAGUGGAAUUCCUAGUGUAGCGGUGAAAUGCGUAGAUAUUAGGAGGAACACCAGUGGCGAAGGCGGCUUACUGGACAGUAACUGACGUUGAGGCUCGAAAGCGUGGGGAGCAAACAGGAUUAGAUACCCUGGUAGUCCACGCCGUAAACGAUGACUGCUAGGUGUCGGGUGGCAAAGCCAUUCGGUGCCGCAGCUAACGCAAUAAGCAGUCCAC
rnacentral:rRNA from 1 species